GACGAACGCUGGCGGCGUGCUUAACACAUGCAAGUCGAACGGAAAGGCCCUGCUUUUGUGGGGUGCUCGAGUGGCGAACGGGUGCGUAACACGUGAGUAACCUGCCCUUGACUUUGGGAUAACUUCAGGAAACUGGGGCUAAUACCGGAUAGGAGCUCCUGCUGCAUGGUGGGGGUUGGAAAGUUUCGGCGGUUGGGGAUGGACUCGCGGCUUAUCAGCUUGUUGGUGGGGUAGUGGCUUACCAAGGCUUUGACGGGUAGCCGGCCUGAGAGGGUGACCGGCGACAUUGGGACUGAGAUACGGCCCAGACGCCUACGGGAGGCAGCAGUGGGGAAUAUUGCGCAAUGGGCGGAAGCCUGAUGCAGCAACGCCGCGUGCGGGAUGUCGGCCUUCGGGUUGUAAACCGCUUUCGCCUGUGACGAAGCGUGAGUGACGGUAAUGAGUAAAGAAGCACCGGCUAACUACGUG
rnacentral:rRNA from 1 species